CUUUAAAAAUCUGGAUCAAGCUGAAAAUUGAAACACUGAACAACGCAAGUUGUUCGUGAGUCUCUCAAAUUUUCGCGACACGAUGGUGUUUUACGAAACAUCUUCGG
rnacentral:sRNA from 1 species